UAUCGCGAGAAGUCUUCCUGGCUUAUCUGAUACACCGGAAGUGACUAGGAAGGAGGCCGCAGUAAAAAAUUUCUAUAUUACUUUCAGUGUAGGUUUUAUUGCCGAUAAAUUCAAUGUAAGAGUGCACAUCAGUAUCUACACAUUUUGGGAGUGUGACAGGUUAUCACAGGCCAUUCUUCCUGCUUCAGCUUAAUCUUCCUAAGAUUUCCAUGGCCUCUUCACCAUUCUUCCCUACUGGAUCCUUUUGGAAUGAAUAGCAGAGGAUCAUGAGGACAAGACUGCUUUUCAGGUUUCUACACCAGUAUAUCUUCAUCAUUCAUCAAGCUGCUUCAGAGGACUGGACUGCAUUUCUGUUAAUGGGAUCUAUGCAGACAAUAUACCGCUUAA